AUACUUACCUGGCAAGGGAGAUACCAUGAUCAAAAAGGCAGUUCACCCAUGGCACGACUCAGCUAUUGUGCUCAGGCUGUGCUGACCCCUGCGAAUUUUACAAAAUGUGGGAAUGUCGACUGGCUUAAGC
ensembl:snRNA U1 U1 spliceosomal RNA